GGAGACGUGGUUAGGGCAACGGCGGUGAGCGAGGUGGGUAGGGUGGUGCUGACGAGGGAGACGACAGCUAGGUGGAUUCAUGAAGUAUGCCCAUGGCUACUUGAAGUAGCAGGUCUUCUUCAAGUGUCCAAAGGAAUUAAAAGGCCCGAUCUUCCACUAAUUCAGUGUCCUUGCUGCCACAAGAAGAACAUCGUGAAGUUCACUGCAACGACGCAUGCUAAUCGGGGUCGGUACGUGAAAUAUCUUGAGAGGAAUGGCUCGAUUGGUAAAGUGGAGCCUGCAGAUGUGAAGUAG
rnacentral:lncRNA from 1 species